UACAGAGGUCCCAAGCGUUGUUCGGAUUCACUGGGCGUAAAGGGUGCGUAGGUGGUGAGGUAAGUCGGAUGUGAAAGCUCGGAGCUCAACUCCGAAAUGGCAUUGGAAACUACCUUGCUCGAGGGUUGGAGGGGGACUGGAAUACUUGGUGUAGCAGUGAAUGCGUAGAUAUCAAGUGGAACACCAGUGGCGAAGGCGAGUCCCUGGACAACUCCUGACACUGAGGCACGAAGCUAGGGGAGCAACAGG
rnacentral:rRNA from 1 species